GAAGGGGGUUGGGACGACCCGAAAAUGGAAAUUCGUUUUAAAGCACACGAUGAAGUAAACACCACUAACUCCAAACGACGGGGCUUAUAGGCUGCAUUUAAAAAAAAAAAAAGAAAAGAAAAGGAAGAAAAGCAGCGAGACGAACCGGAGGAGGAGUGGGAAGAGAGGAAGAUAUAAAGAAAGGGAGGGGGGUGUGCACUGUGACACUGUGCAGUUGACUACAUAGAGAGAGAGAGAGAGAGAGAGAGAGAGAGAGAGAGAGAGAGAGAGAGUAGCCCGCCGGCCCAUUGAGGAAAGAUGGCUACAGUCACUGCAAACGGAGUGCAGCAGGAGAAUGGAUUCAGCACCACGAACAGCGCCGGCAGGAUGAACGGGCUUACCAUCGGCCAGAACACCAUUCCAAUGAAGGACCACGACGCCAUCAAGCUUUUCAUCGGGCAGAUUCCCAGAAACCUGGAGGAAAAAGACCUGAAACCCCUGUUUGAGGAAUUCGGAAAGAUAUAUGAACUCACUGUACUGAAAGACAGGUUUACGGGAAUGCAUAAAGGAUGUGCCUUUCUAACAUACUGUGCCAGAGAGUCAGCACUGAAGGCCCAAAGCGCCCUCCAUGAACAGAAGACGCUGCCAGGGAUGAACCGACCCAUUCAGGUGAAGCCAGCCGACAGCGAAGGACGGGGAGAAGACAGGAAGCUGUUUGUAGGAAUGCUCGGCAAACAACAGAGCGAGGACGAUGUUCGGCGGCUGUUCGAGACUUUCGGCCAGAUUGAGGAGUGCACCGUCCUUCGAGGGCCUGAUGGGGCCAGUAAGGGCUGUGCCUUUGUCAAGUACUCGAGCCACGCAGAAGCGCAAGCCGCCAUCAAUAGUUUGCAUGGUGGACAAACUAUGCCUGGUGCCUCGUCCAGCCUGGUGGUCAAAUUUGCAGACACUGAUAAGGAGAGGACCCUGCGUAGAAUGCACCAGAUGGCAGGCCAACUCGGUAUCUUCAGUCCCAUGACCAUCCAAUUUGGGGCCUAUGGCGCCUACUCUCAUGCUGUAAGUCUCAGCCCAGCGGGAGAGGAGACGCAGAUGAUGCAACAGCAAGCAGCCCUGAUGGCAGCAACACAAGGGUCCUACCUGAACCCCAUGGCAGCCAUUGCUGCCGCGCAAAUGCAGCAAAUGGCAGCUUUCAAUGUCAAUGGCCUGGUGGCUACUCCUAUGACACCGUCCUCAGGCACCAGCACACCCCCAGGCAUUUCUGCUACAGCCGUGCCAAGCAUAGCCACACCUAUUGGGGUCAACGGAUUCAGUGCCCUUCCGCCUCAAAGCAAUGGCCAGCCUACAUCGGAGCCCAUCUACACCAACGGCAUUCAUCCUUACCCAGCACAGAGUCCAACGGUGACCGACCCUCUCCAACAGGCUUAUGCUGGCGUCCAGCACUACGCAGCAGCCUACCCUGCCGCCUAUGCGCCAAUCAGCCAAGCGUUCCCCCAGCAACCGACCAUCAUUCCCCAGCAACAGAGGGAAGGGCCGGAAGGUUGCAACCUGUUUAUUUAUCACCUGCCCCAGGAGUUUGGAGAUGCUGAGCUCAUGCAAAUGUUCCUUCCUUUCGGCAACGUCAUCUCUGCCAAAGUCUUUGUGGACCGAGCCACCAAUCAGAGCAAAUGCUUUGGCUUUGUGAGUUUCGAUAACCCAUCCAGUGCUCAGGCCGCUAUCCAGGCUAUGAAUGGCUUCCAGAUAGGCAUGAAGAGGCUGAAGGUGCAGCUAAAGCGGCCAAAGGACGCCAACCGACCUUACUGACUCGUCUGCUGUCCAUAAACAGUGUGAGGUGGCCUUUCUCCGCUAUAGCCACACACCCCACCGACACCUGUCAUGGGGCCAAGUUCCCACAGCUGAUGAAGGGCCACAACACCUUAUUUCCACAAGUGCAGUAAAAGUACAAAGACUCCUCGUUCUGCUACAUAUCAUGAAGAAAGGGUGGUCCCUUGAUCCUCCUGGAAAGCCGUUGAAAGAUUGGGUGACUGAAAGAAGGAUCCCAGAGUUGUUGUUUUUUAUUAUCAUUUUAGUUUUUUCUUUCUUCGCAAAUGCCUCUCUUUUCCCUUUUUUGCUUUGGCAUCUGUGGAAGAAGAUUUUUUGCAGAGACCAACUUUUUGCUGCUGUUUUUUAGACAUGAUGAAAAGAAAAAAAACUUUAUAGACUCAUUAUGCUCAAAGCAUGCAUACUGACACAGGAUACAGAUAAACUCACUUAAAAAAUAUUUUAAAAAAUAAACCAAACAUACAAGAAAUUAAACAAGCUGCACUUAAUGAAUGAAAAACUUAAAAAAAAAAAAAAAA